ACGAACGCUGGCGGCGUGCUUAACACAUGCCAGUCGAACGGAAAGGCCCUGCUUUUGUGGGGUGCUCGAGUGGCGAACGGGUGAGUAACACGUGAGUAACCUGCCCUUGACUUUGGGAUAACUUCAGGAAACUUGGGCUAAUACCCGAUAGGAGCUCCUGCUGCCUGGUGGGGGGUGGAAAGUUUCGGCGGUUGGGGAUGGACUUGCGGCUUAUCAGCUUGUUGGUGGGGUAGUGGCUUACCAAGGCUUUGACGGGUAGCCGGCCUGAGAGGGUGACCGGCCACAUUGGGAAUGAGAUACGGCCCAGACGCCUACGGGAGGCAGCAGUGGGGAAUAUUGAACAAUGGGCGGAAGCCUGAUGCAGCAACGCCGCGUGAGGGAUGACGGCCGUCGGGUUGUAAACCGCUUUCGCCUGUGACGAAGCGUGAGUGACGGUAAUGGGUAAAGAAGCACCGGCUAACUACGUG
rnacentral:rRNA from 1 species